UACGAAGGGUGCAAACGUUGCUCGGAAUCAUUGGGCGUAAAGCGCACGUAGGCGGCCUCAUAAGUCGGAUGUGAAAUCCCACGGCUCAACCGUGGAAGUGCAUCCGAAACUGCGAGGCUCGAGUAUGGAAGAGGGUCGCAGAAUUCCCGGUGUAGAGGUGAAAUGCGUAGAUAUUGGGAGGAACACCAGUGGCGAAGGCGGCUCACUGGACCGGUACUGACGCUGAGGCGCGAAAGCGUGGGGAGCAAACAGG
rnacentral:rRNA from 1 species